rnacentral:rRNA from 1 species
UAAGGAAUAUUGGUCAAUGGGCGCAAGCCUGAACCAGCCAUGCCGCGUGCAGGAAGACGGCCCUACGGGUUGUAAACUGCUUUUGUACCGGAAUAAACCUUUGUUCGUGAACGAAGCUGAAUGUACGGUAAGAAUAAGGAUCGGCUAACUCCGUGCCAGCAGCCGCGGUAAUACGGAGGAUCCAAGCGUUAUCCGGAUUUAUUGGGUUUAAAGGGUGCGUAGGUGGCCUAUUAAGUCAGGGGUGAAAGACGGUAGCUUAACUAUCGCAGUGCCUUUGAUACUGAUGGGCUUGAAUACACUUGAGGUAGGCGGAAUGUGACAAGUAGCGGUGAAAUGCAUAGAUAUGUCACAGAACACCAAUUGCGAAGGCAGCUUACUAAAGUGUUAUUGACACUGAGGCACGAAAGCGUGGGGAUCAAACA